rnacentral:lncRNA from 1 species
CUAGAAGGGUGUAUAUGUUUCCCUCCUAAGGCUGCGUUUGGUUCGGGUAUAAGUAAGAACUGCUAGUUCUAGGGAUAGGUACAAGUUCAGGUAUAAGCAAGAACUAGACGAAUUUUGCGUUUGGAUGAAAAUUGAGUUGUUCCUAGGAAUAAGGUAAAUAGUAUUUGGAUGAUUAGAUUGGAACAAGAGGAAUAAACGUUAUAAUUUGAAAUUAAAAUUAUAUUAUGUAAUUAAUUAACAUAAAAAUAUUACUUAAAAAUAAAUAAAAAAUUAAUUUUUAAUAAUUAAUUAUAAAUAAUAAUUAAUAAUAAUAAUUAAUUAUAAAUAAUAAAUUAAUUAUUAAUAACGAUUAUCUAAUUAAUAAUAAUAUUAUUAUUAAUUAUUAAUAAAUAAUAAAAAUUAUUAAUUAUUCUUAUUAAUUAAUUAUAAAUAAUAAAUUCGGAAUUUGAACAAAGAUAAGAGACCACUUCAAGGGAUGCCAAUGGUGAUGGAUACUCAACAUUUUUCCGAAUUCGGAAUUGAGCGAAUUUAUUUGAUGCUAAACAGAUAUGAUUUUGGAUAUAGAUAUCAAAAAUAAAAAUCCGACGAAUAUAAAUUUGGAUAUGAAUUUUGACCGUAUCCAACUCGACCCCGAAUUUAUUUUAUAUUUUAUAUAUAAUAUACAUAUAAAAAUUUGAUAUUAUAUUUGAAUUUAUAUUUUAAAAAUUUAGAUUUAAUGUAAUAUAUUUUAAAUAUUGAAACCGAUUGUCUCUAGAGCAAGUGGCAAAGGGCUGGCGAUUGGUACUCGAGACUCAAGUUCGAAUCCUAGUUGAUUCACAUUUCCAGCUAAGUUUAUUUCUUAAUGAAUUAAACAAAGCGGGUAGCGUGCUACCCAUCUCUCUAAAAAAAAAUUUUUUUUUUAAUAUUGAAAAGAGAAAUAAUUGUUUCGGGUUCAGAUUUUUGGAUUCGGGUUCGGGUUUCAGAUUUUUGAUCGAGUUCGGAUUUGGAUAUGGAUUUUUAAAAUCUGCCGGGUUCAGAGUCAAGUUCGGAUUUGGGUUUCAGGUUUGAGUUCGGAUAUUUAAAAAUCUGUCUCGAAUCCGACCCGUCGACAUCCCUAUCUUUGAAUGAGGGAGUGUAAGAUACACACUUUUUUUUUUUUUUUUUUUUUUUUUUUUUGUGAAUUUUUUUAUGAAUUAGAUGGAGAGUUUCAUUUUGGUUUCUAAGUUUUAACUCGCUACAUAAUUUAUCCCACGCUGUCUAACUUCGGGUCUCAUCAAGAGAGUAAAAUGAUAAAAAUGAUGCCUUGUCAUUUUUUUUGAACCCUAUUAGUUACAAGUGCUACUCAAACAAUCUUGCUAAUUUGUAUAAUUAUAUUUUUAUAAAAUAUUAAGCGGGUUUAAAUUUUUAAACAUAACAAAUUCUAAAAGCGUGACCGAUCGAUUUAUUAGACUUUCGAAGUUUGAAGCUAAUGUGACAUAAUCUACGAAUUGGAGUGAAAUUUCGAGUGAGUGGUGUAACUUAUGCCUAGCUAUAAUCGGUACGCAGUUUAUCAAGUUGAGGAUUUCUUCAAUUGGUAAUGGAGUGGUAUAACUUAUGCCUAUAAUCGGUACGCAGUUUAUCAGGUUAAAUAUUACUUCAAUUGGUGCGAGUUUGGGUUCAGUUUACAGACCAAUUAAUCUGGGAGGUGUUGCGUUUAAUGUAUAAACUGACUAGAAUUGUAGUACUCAAUUCAGUGAGUUGGGUCAGGCGUGAGAUUUGUUUGCGAGAGAAGAAACUCAUUUUUGUCAUAGUUAUUUCGUAAUCAUCCAAUCAAAUAUCUUCCUAUUAUAUAAAAACACACAAAAAUAAAUUGUAAAGCAGUAUUUUAAUUUGUAAUUGUCGCAUUAUCUUUUAUUUGGAUUCUUCUUCAUCUCGCUUUAAGAGCUGAACUCAACAGUUUCGUCCGACACUUCAUUUGGGCACCCAAUCCUUUCUGUCCCAAUCAUUUCAAGAAGGUACCGCAAUAUUUCCUCAUGUUAGAACAAAAUAUUUCUUAUACACUGUCCUAAAAUAAGGAAAAAACUUCAAAUACCCCCAUUAUUUCACACUUUCUCAUUUUAGUACCUUGUGAUUUAAAGUGUAUCAAUUUAGUAUCAUGUGGUUUCAUUUUUAUCUUUUUAUUAUCGAUUUCACUAAUUUUUUUGUUAAAUCAGUGAUAAAGUUAAAACUAAACGGUGCUAAAGUGAAUAUUCGAUAAAUCUAGAUAAGGUAUCUGAAGCUUUUUGUAUAUAAUUUAACAAAAUAUUAACGGAAAAGCUGACGAAAAGAUAAAAAUAAAAUCACGGGACACUAACUUGAUACAUUUUAAACCAUAGGGUAUUAAAGUGAGAAAGUGCGAAGCUACAUGGGUGGUUUUUGAAGUUUAUCCUAAAAUAAAAUUAACAUUUUACCUCCGUUUAGACCCUUUAUUAUAUUAACGGCACAAUAAAUUUUAUUUACGGUAUUUUUAAUAAGAGUUGAGCUUAUGUAUUUUCAAAAGCACAGAAAUAUCUGUACUUGCAAUUUUUUAGCUGUUUAAUCAUCUUAAGAUUCAUACAAUAUUAAUAAAUGUAACUUAACGGAGCAUAUCGUUAACUGUAGCGCGAAUUCAUAUCGUUAACUGUAGCGCGAAUUUUGAAAUGAUCCGACGAUUAAAAAGUUACAAGCGUAACUACUUUUAUGCUCUGAAACUCAACUCAUUUAAUAAUAUAUAAAUAUAAU